AUUGGCUGGAGGGGCCCGUCGGCGGCGAAGUUGCUAGCUGGGGGCAGAGACGGCCACGCGGUUGCAGGAGUAAGAGAUCCCCCUGUGGCGAAUUGGCCAACGGCUCCUUUCAACCCUGCCUCGUUGGUGGCCACUGGAGAAGCGCGGGGGGCUCCCCAGACAGCCGUGGGGACAAGUUAGAGCCAGCACUUUACCCCAGGCCUCGCGUGUAGUGUCCCCUCCCCUGCUUUAGGUGCCCCUGUGUCUGGAGGGGUGUUUGGGGGUGUGCCCUCCUUACAUGUCUCACGCCCUGGGCAACCCUCUGGGCUUGUGUUCCAUCUCAUUUUUUGCUUCCUGCACGGUGGUCGAGGGGAACUACUUUGCAUCAUGUCCCGGUAUAGCUACCAGAGUCUCCUGGACUGGCUCUAUGGGGGCGUGGACCCCAGCUUUGCAGGCAAUGGGGGCCCCGACUGUGCUGCCUUCCUCUCUUGGCAGCAGCGGCUGCUGGAAAGUGUGGUGGUCCUGACCCUGGCCCUGUUGGAGAUCCUGGUGGCCCUGCGGCACAUCCUGAGGCAGACGAAGGAGGACGGUAGGGGUGGCCGUGGCGGCCAGCCAGAGCAGGUGACCCAGCGGCCAGAGGAAGGCAAGGAGAGCCUGAGCAAGAAUCUGCUCUUAGUAGCCCUGUGCCUGACCUUCGGGGUGGAGGUGGGCUUUAAGUUCGCCACCAAGACCGUCAUCUACCUGCUCAACCCCUGUCACCUGGUCACCAUGAUGCAUAUCUUUCUCCUGGCCUGCCCUCCAUGUCGAGGAGCUAUCGUUGUCUUCAAGCUACAGAUGCACAUGUUGAAUGGAGCUCUUCUGGCAUUGCUUUUUCCUGUGGUAAAUACCCGGCUGCUCCCCUUUGAACUGGAGAUUUACUACAUCCAGCAUGUUAUGCUCUACGUGGUGCCCAUCUACCUGCUGUGGAAAGGAGGUGCUUAUACCCCAGAACCCCUCAGCAGCUUCCGGUGGGCCCUUCUCUCAACUGGCCUCAUGUUCUUUUAUCACUUCAGCGUCUUGCAGAUCCUGGGCCUGGUCACCGAAGUGAAUUUGAACAACAUGCUGUGUCCGGCCAUCUCAGACCCAUUCUACGGCCCCUGGUAUCGCAUCUGGGCCUCGGGACACCAGACUCUCAUGACCAUGACCCACGGGAAGCUGGUCAUCCUGUUCUCAUACAUGGCUGGGCCCCUGUGUAAAUAUCUGCUGGAUUUGCUCCGGCUUCCAAUCAAGAAAAUAGACUAAAGAUCAUAUGAAAUAAAGUACAACAAUGACCUUGCUCCUUUGCAACCUCCGAACUAGACUUGCUCUCAAUCAAUGGUUCCCAAGUGGAGUACAAGGCCUUUCAAAGUACUGGAGGCAAGCUAUAAGACCAUGUAAACAUUAUUCUCCAGGAAUGGGCCUUCUUUUCAAAGCAGGUAAGUGGAGUCAUAGACAUGCAUUCUUUCCAACAGUAUGGAUGGAAGGUCUAGAAGACGGGGAGGGGAGGUCGAUGAAAACCACUUUUGUUUCUUCUCUUACCCUGAAAUUUUCCAAUUUUUCAAGGAAAAAAAUUCUCUGGAAAUCCAUUUUGUUCUUUCCCCCCAGGUCUUCAUACUUCCAUCCAUUAGAGCCUGUCAGAUCUUCUAGGCAGUUUGUUUUUUUUUUAUUAAAGCAUAUCUCUGUUGCAGUUUCUUCCAUCUAUUUAAUAUCAGUACACUUAUGAAUCUCCUGCUGAAAAUGCAACUGGGGCAACUGUUUAAAAACUAACACAGGAAGGCCUCCCAUUCCCUGUGUGAAAGGACUAUGGACCACCGAGAAGAAAUCUGAGUGCUUAGCUAUCAGCUAUUUCCAGGAUAAAGGACAUCUACUAAUCUCCCCGGUGCCUGACACAGUACUGAGACAAUGACAAAUUUGCAAAGGUUUCUGUAUACUGAGUUUCUGAUCAGUGACUUUGACAUUUUUUUCCUUCAACAAUAUCAGAUUCUUUAUAUUUUUAAAAAUACAGAGCAUAGUUUAUGCUCCCAUCAUUCACUGAAAUUAAUUUUUAAUCUUCAACUCUAUUCUUCAAAAAUCUGUCAUGUUAAAAUUGAAAAGAAUACUUGAUGUUUAUUCAGGUGUCUAAAUAAAACUUCGGAGAGGAAGAAUGUCUCCCCAUCCGUGGUGUCCAACUGGUAUGGAGUGCAGAGGGGCCACAACAUUUAUCAGAAUUUUGGGAAGUUUCAAUGCUUAGUUAAGCAAGUACAGUUUAGAAAAAGAACAACUCCCUAGGUGAUUUUUAUUCUAGGUGAAUUAGAUAAUCUCUAAUAGCCAGUCUAACUCUGACAAACUGUGACUAUGUAUUGAAAAAAAAAAGAUUUAGGUAAAUGGAGGGAGGUGAUUUAAAUACAUUAGGUCCUGUCUUCAUCAGAGAAUACAUGAUGUGUUCUUCAACAAAAAUUCCAGAGGUUUUAAAGCCUAGUAAUUUAACAAUUAAAACAACCAUUAAGACUAAUUGUAUGGUAUGUGAAUGAUAUCUCAAUAAAGCUGUUAUAUUAUUAAAAAAAGAGAGAGAUUAAGACCAAAAAUGAAGGACAUGUUGACCAAAAUAAAAAUUAUUCACCAAUAAUAUUGCUUUAUUUACUUUUGUAAUUUGAAAAGGCCCCACCAUCAAAUUUGAUAUGGAAAAAAAAUCAUUAAAAUUCUCUCCUUUUGAGCUUACUGCCACAUUUACAGCUUUGUUUUCUGGCUUCCUAUGAUUCUGAGCAAUUGAAAGACCCUAUAGAUUGAACUGUAUGCAUGGUGAUUUUUAAAGUGAAUCCUUUGUAAGAAAUAAUUUCUUUGAUAGGUCAAAGAUACACUUCACAAAGAUAUAAAGCCAAAAGCAGAGUGACUCAUUUUUCAACUAGUAGAAUCAGGAGAAUGAUAAUAAUGUUCUUAAUAGACUCAAACCAUAAUAGCUUUUUGUUACCUGUUGAGCAACAGUAUUUUCCUUACUCCCAGGACCACAAAUGCCAUCACAUAGUCAUACUGCACAAUCAAAACAGGAGAGUGGAAAAUGGCCUGAUGUUGAGAAUGACAAAUUCUGGCUAACCUUUGUAAAUCACUGGCUUUGCAAAUAAAAAGUCAUCUCCACUGAAAUAAGCACCCAAACUAAUUUUACACUGUUUCAGCGGGGCACCUGUCAUAGCUGCAAUGCCAGAAGUGUAACCCUCAUACAUCAAAACUGAAUCCUCCCUUACAUAGACUGGAAAAUCCUUUGGCCUAGAAGCAUCCCAAAAAAACAAAGGCUAUAGCCUUCUUCUUCUUAUCAGCUAGAUAAGAGACCAGCUAACCAAGGAACUGGGAUUCCCUGAAGCAAACUUACUUUAAAACUCUAUCUCAGUAACUUUCUAUUUCUAAGGAUGGGUAAGGAGAUAGGAUGUGGGCAAACUAUGUUACCAAAUAUACCACUAACUAAUCCUACCACUGCCGAAAAUACAGGCAGGUGAGCAAAAACUGGAAACUUGUAAAUCUGGCCUUAUGGGAGUCUGCAGGUCAUUUUUUAAAUUAUUAGAUGAUCUGAAAAAAAAUAUGCUUUCAAGGUCCAUCAGCUGUGAUAUUAUCCUUUUAAUCAAGACUGUACUUUUGCUAAGCAAGGCUAUAAAUCAACUUGAAUGGUAGUAAAUUAAAUGUAGGACUUAUAGAUAAGAGGAUAUGGAAUUAAACAGAGCUGUAUCUGUGUGUGCUGAGAGAACCCUGUGACCAGUUCAAUAGACUCCUAUUUCAUGCUAAAAAGAAAGCCAUAUUUAUUUUGACCCAUUCCAUAGCAAGUGAUUUUUAUUAAUGCUAUUAUACAGUCGUUUGUUUUUAACAUUGCUCAGAAUGAUUAAAUAUCAAGAUUAAUGUUAAGACCCUAAAUAUAUAUCUUGAUUAUUCUGGGGUUGAUUAUCCAGUUUGAGGAUUAUUUAUGCAUCCACAACUCCACCUGGCAUCAGCCUCAUCCUGUUUCUUCUCUUGCCCAUUUCUCUAUUUGUUCACUACUCUAUCAGAGAGCAUGUGGGCACAGACGGAGGAGAUACACACAAAUUAAUCAAUUUUGCUACAUAGUAAUAGGUUUGGUAGGAGAAGAGAUUCUAAAUAAUGGCAAAAAUGAAGCUUCUAGACCGUCUACAGAUUUCAUUUAUCCGUGUUAUCUGGUCCCUUGUUAGAAAUGUGGCUUCAUUUAAAACUAUUAUCCUCUAAUGCAGUGACCCUCAACAGAGGCGCAUUAAAAAAAAAUACUGCCCUCUCCCACCCUGUUUGAAUACAUGGCCCACAUUAUGCUUCACACAAUUGCAUAGGCAAAGCUUAAUAUACCCUAGUUUGUCUAUAAGGCAAGUGUUAGUCCUGUACCCCACUAGCAGCAUACAAAAGGGUCUCGCUUUUAUUUGUGGACCUAAGCAGCAAGCCAACAUCUGAAUAUGAUGAAACAUGAAAAAGAGUAUCUGGGUAAGUCGAGUAGGUUCCAUGCAAGCCUUUGACCAUUUGGAUCUACAGUUACCUCCACAGGUCCUGACCCUCAGAGCCAAAUCUGGCCCUGGUCACAUCCUGGCCAAUGGGACCAAUCUACUUCCUCAGGUGACAUCCUGUCAAAGUAAAUGCUACAUUUAGUCCCACUCUACCCAAUUUUCAGAACCAAAUGCUUGGUUUCCCUGGAAUAAUAUGGCCAUAGUUCACAUCACCCAUUUUCACCUUGAAUAAAAUAAAAAAAUAUCAAGAGGUCAAAGAAUCGAAAAGUUGUCAGACAUGCCUUUUUAGAUGAAAUCAUUUCGCAAAAUAUUCUUUGCAAUUAACAAAGCAGCCAGUUACUGGCCAUUCGCAUAAGCCUGCCCUGCCAGACUCAAUAUGCCAGUUCACUGAAUUGAAUGAAAGGACUCUGUUCCUAAUGAGAGGAGCUCAGGAUGUUUGGCACAUCCCCCUAACCUUUAGAGGCUGGCAUCACAGAAGACACGCAUGCUCGCUCAUAAAACAGCCCCUGGUACCACGGACAGAAGCAAACACUGCAUUAGACAGCCUGUGGGUCUGACCUAGAGUCAGGCAUUCCUUAUAUUCUUAGGAGGAAAAAGACAUAUGUGGUAUUUUUCCUAAAAGCACAAAAACCACAAUGCAGCACAUUCCACUCUUUCAUUCACAGCCCUAGAGCACAUUCUGCCCCCCACCCCCCGGUUCAGCCUUCUGCAAACAGCAACUCUUCCUUUUCCCAAUGAAAGCAAAUUCAACAUACUUCAAACCUGGAUCUACUCCAAAUUUAACCUCUUGAAUAAUUACUCUUUGGGCAAGAAAAAUUAAGGUUUCUGUCAUAAAGGCUGAUAACAAUUUGUACAGAUCCUAAUGAGUCACUUCCCCUAAUCCUCAUAUUACCAAACAAAUUUUAAGAUUACAUAUUAUCCAGAUCUCCAUCAAAUCUUCAAAGUUGUGACUUUACAUCACUACAAUCCACCCACACCAAUUUAAGAAGCAAGUCUGAAAUUUUAAAGGUGCCCAUCUGUUUAACAUGAUCCCUUCAGAAUCUGGUCAAAUAAUAAAUUUUAAAAACUGUUGCUGUAGUUCAAUUUUUUUCUUAACUCAGUAAUUUUUACCUCUGUAAACAUUAAAAAUUAUAAACCUGGCCUAUUUUUUGUUUACAAAACUAGGACACAUGUAUUACCAAAAAAGACAUCCUUUAGAAAAGUAUAAAGGAGAAAAUAAAGAUGACUAGUAAUCUAGUACCACCUAGAGGUAACUCUUGCCUUAGUGACUUAAAAAUAAUUUUCUCCUGAACUGAAAUGCCACCACCAACUAUAUUUUAGGCUGUUUUUAUCCAUUAUCCAUUAUCUAGUUCCUGUUGCUGUCCUUGCUUUCAAAUAUCCCUUAAGUAAAAGGCUUUUAGAAGCAGAAGAAAUACUGGAAACAUAAAUCAAAAAGGAUAAUUGAUUACAAAACCAUUGCUUGGACACAAGUAACCUUUUAACAUAUUCUACUAUAAAAAUCCUGCUUCAUCAUCUAUCUUAGCUGAGGUUAUUUUUUCUGUUGCUUUUUUGUGAAAACAACUGCAAAGGUCCCCUCGACCAAAAUAUGUAUGUGUUUGCUCUCCUCUAAAACCCUUGCAAAUUAGUCAUCUUUAGCUUAGAAAUUAGUUCAGUCUCCAUCGACCAAUUCUUGGCUUUUGCAGAGCUUACCAAAGGACCAAUUAGUGCCAAUUUUGAUUCAUGUAGGAACUUAGACAUCUUGUCUAUCAGGAACACAAGCCUACCAAUUUACUUCACAAAGGCCAUUGAACAACAAUUUGAUAACAUUUAUUUUAACUAACAGCUGACACACAACUCUAAAAUACCUGAUCUAUCUAAUAAUCAUCGCCACGAACUUUUAGAGAAUUAGUGAGAUUUUAAAUAAAUCAUGGCUAAUGAAGAGGUGCUUUGAAAAGCUAUGAAGCCAAGCAUGUUUACAUAUCAUUUGCAAUGAAAGAAACUGUCCUUACUCUAAGGUUUUACAGAGAACAAGUGACAGCUCAGAGUGCAAUUAAGGAAAAAGAAAACCAAUUCUCUAUAAUGAUUAAUUACAAUGAGCAUUCCGUAAAAAAUGAACAUCCUGAAGCUUUCCAAAGAAAGUUCAGGCAACACAGGUGACCUUUAAAUAAAAAGCCUGCUUUUCAUCAAAAGUUAGUAAAACACACUUCUACCAUUUUUAAAAAGGGGAAUGAGGAAGGGAGUGAAUUUACAGACAAAGAAACUAAAGUUAUACAAUUUCUUAAAAUCUGGAGAUGUGAAUUAGUUUACUUUUCAAGGCUGGGAUGGAGGGAAAUCACCUCUUGGUAAACAUACUCAAUAUGAAAUAAUGUUGUUUGCCUGAUAAGAAACUAAGAAAAAUCCUAUUCAUGUUAGAACUGUACAUUGAGUAUUUGACUCAAUACAGUUUUUCUCAGUCUACAAAAGAGAUUUGUUCCUAAAAAGUUACAUGUGGGUUGAACUUAGUAAAUGAAUUAAUCUUAAAGUCAAGAGGAAGACAAUAAAGAAACCCUAUAGUGAAUUCUUUCUGCAAAGCAAAAUAUCUAUUUGUACAGUGAAAAAUUAUCCCCUAAUCUAUUUCCUUAAUUUGGAUUUACAUGUAUAAUGUUCACUUAAAAACAGGGGAUGCAAUAAUAAAAUAGAGGCAUUUAUAGUUCCAUAAUAUUUUCCUUCCUAAAGAGAAUUCUUUUGUGAAAAAGAAAUCUAGAAAAUGUACCAUUUUUUAAACUGGGCUAUUUUUCACUUUUGGUGCCUAUGUUUAAGUUGGAAAUGGCCAUUUUUAAAGUUAGAGAACUCUUCUUAUGACUUCUACUUGGCUAGUGGUGAUUCAUUCUUUCGAAGCAAAAUGAAAGAGAAGCAAUUUCAAAAAAGGAGUCACAGAAUCACACAGUGUCACAGUCAGAAGGGGCCUUAGGUGUUAUCUAGUCCAACCUUUUCAGCUUCCUGGUAAAGAACUGAGGUUCAGAAAGGUCACAGAGCUGGCUAGUGGCAGUAAGGAAUAGAACCUGAGUCUCUUGAUUCUCAAAAUUCAGCACUCCCUCAAUUAAAUGCUGGGGAUACACACACCCAUGCCAACUGUACAUGACAGAGUAGACUGUAAUGGAACUCCUGGAGAAGAGGGCGGAAAACAUCCCCCACCAAACAACACAAUGGGAGGAAAGGAGGAAAUAACUCGAGGAGGUCCAAGAAUGGACUGAACAGCCCAUUUCACUAAGGGUACCAACAGCUAACGGAUAUUUUUAUGCAUUAAAUCACCUUCUAAGAAGUUACUUUACUUUCUAUGGCUUGCUCCCCCACUAGGUUUCUUACACAUUGACUUGUUGAUUCACAGCAAAUUCUUUCUAGAUGGCCAGGAGGCAUGAAACAUUCCUUUCCCAGUGCUCCACAGCACAUGAAAAACAUUUAAAGAAUCAGGACAAAGACUAAAUUAUCGUUAAUGAUCGUGACAUCUUACACAAAAAUCCCAAAGUCCCUGGAAAAACACUGUGAGAAGCAUUUUGCUAAAUAUAUUAAGCCCGUAUUUUUAUUAAAAGGCAGCAAUCUGAAGUUAAAAGAGAGACAAAACAUGCUUUACAUCAUAGUUGGGGGAAAAAUAACCAAGGGAGGGGGACAACAUAUACAACUAGAAGCCAUUUAUUUCACUUGGUGACUCUGUGAGUGACGCACCAUCUGGGUAUGAAUGGGAACUUUUCAGUGGUACAUUAAGAGGAGCUAUAAAAAUGUAAACCUUUAAGGGGGAAGAAAGGGUGAAAAGGAGAACAUUAACUUCUAAAAUCUAUGGGAGAUAAUGACGGUAACCAAUUUAUUCAUCUCUUCCGUCUCUUCUCUCAUGAAGGUUGUUACAAAAGCGCUCUAUGAUUAACUGUAGGUGAACACGUCAGAAAUGGAGCUGUGAUCGUUCAAGAGGUAUACUUUAGAGGUUGCUUUUAAAAUGAAGUGCAGCUCUCUGAGUACCAGGAGUCCAGCAAGGCUUAUGUAUAAUGACAGGUGGUUUGGUACUUUAGGGACAGAGCCAUACUAGGGGCUUCGGGUCUAGCUCUUUAGUCCAGGGACAGAUUUUUGGCAUCACACCACAACCAUGCUGGCCAGCCCCACCCAGCAUGAGCUGAUUACCCAUCAGUGAUGUGCGCUAAGAAGGAGCAGUCUGUCUUAAGAUCACAAUGCAUUGCCCAAGCGACAGCUGUAUGGACAGGUGAGAUAUCAGUGAUCCAGGCAGCUGGAUAUGGCAAAAACUGUCUUCUGGUUUGUGAAAAUUCCAUUAAUUAUUGAAAUAUGGCCUAAGGGUCUGCAUUCAAAUACAGAAAAGAUUUCUUCCUCGUGCCUCAAAUGAUCUUGUCUCUAAAGCACAGCAAUAAAAGAUGCCUGACAAUAAUUUAGAAAAUAUUUUUACUUCUGUCAGCAGAUUGCUACAUUAGCCUCCACAAGAUCACUGGUAGCAUACUUGCUAUACGAGUUCUUCUACAAACAAAAGCUUAUUCAUUUAUAUCAUCCUGAAAACCAGUAGCUAGGAGAUGACAGACCUAGAAUUACCCCUUAAGUUAAGCUCCAACUAUUAUAAUGACAUUGGUUUUAUAUCCACUCAGAUCUUUAAAAGGAAACAUAUCUCCCAAACAGUUUAACUGUACCAGUUCUAGGAUACGUAUUGUUUUAGAGGGUUCCAACAUGGUACAUGAGCUUUUCUUUCUUUCCAAAGUACUGUGUCUGUCAAUCAUCCUGUCAUUCAGAAUUAAGAUAGUGCUGUCAACUCAAGAACACAGAACAAUGGUGAUAAGUUCUUGUGUUCAAACACAAGGCAGAAUCAUGUUGGAUUUCUCCCUUGGGGAGCAAUUUUCCUCGUUUAACAACCAUUCUAGCCUUGCAGGUAGAUAUUUCAAUUUAUCAGAUCAUGAAUUUUUUCCCCCAAAUUAAUUACUUAUCAUCCUUCUCAUACCUACUGAGACAAUAAGUAGAUCUUGAUGUGGGCAAUGAUCAGUGAUCCUUGGAAAGCUGAGAUCGCUGUUCCCGUUUGUCUUUACAGCCACUGUGGAUGGUAGUGGUGUUUUUAAUGAUUACCCAGAUUUAUUGAGUGGCUACCUAUAGACACUAAUCUUAAAUAUUGUAAUUGCUGUUUUGAGGAAAUAAAACAUAUGGAAGCAUUACUGAUCAUUCUGUCAAUUCAACAUUGACUUGAAUUUAAUUACAUCCACCUGUGAAACAAUUUAUCAAGCAUUCCUCACAUUACAAACAGAAGCAUUCUAGCCUUUAACACAAAGUUUGAAGUAAAGCCUACUUCCCUACUAACUUCCAUUAUAAAAUCAGAGAUACAUUAUCGAAAGAAUUUUCAAAUAGACUUAAGUUAAAAACCUUAGAUGAAGAGGACAGUAAGAUGGUAAGUAGCCCUGUUGCAGUUCACUUGUUUCCUGAUCAUUUGAAAAUGAGGUAGCUAUUCCACUGGUCACGUUCCUCAUUCUCAUGACCACAGAGAUGUCUCUCUUGUUACUGAAAUUACAUAAGUCUAUGCUUUUUGAGAUUUCUAGAAUUUGCCCUAUUUCUGCUUUGAUCUGGGCAUUUUAUCCCUUUAACUGAAAAUUCUACUACAGUAACACACUUCACCAGUGGGGGUCAACUCUCAAACUGUAGUUUGACUAGAAAAACCCUUUAUUAGAGGCUUCUGCUUAUAUAAAACAUACUCAUUACCUAAUUUUCGACUUUAAAAUUCUCUGUUCUGUAACAAUUCUGUAACAUUCUGUAAUGAUAUCCUUGCUUUCCCUCUAAUACAAAUACUUUUCACUUCAGUUUAAAAUGAGAUAUUUAUGGUGAAUAGGAUAUUUCAUUUGUGGAAGAAAAGCUGUACCUAUUGGACAGUGUAAAAUUUCUCAAAGUAAAGAGUAUAUUUUCAGAGUACAGACUGACUUCUCAUAAAGGAAAUUCCCAAUAGAAAUAAAUUUAUAUACAAAGAUCAACUAUAGACAAAGACCUCCCCAUAAUCUUCUUAUAAAUAAUGGUUUAUAUUAUAUUCAUUAUGAUAUAUUUAUAUUUAUUUAUAUUCAAUGAUACCAGUUACAUAAAAAAUACGCAAAUGUACUGAUACAAAGACACAGAAAAAGAAUGGAAAGAAAUAUACCAAAAUGUUAAUACUGCCUACCUCAGAAUGGUGGAAAUACGAAUAUUUUGUGUUUCUUUUUUAUACUUUUUUUAAUUUUUAAAGUUUUCUUCUUCAAUAAAUUAGAAUUAUUAUUAUGGAGAGCAGGUAUAUCUAUAUAGAAUUUUUUUUGCAUUUUUAUUGUAGUAAAAUACAUGUAACGUAAAAUUUACGAUUUUAACCAUUUACAAGUCUGUACUCAAGUGACAUAAAAUACUUCACAAUGCUGUGCAACCAUCACCACUAUCUAGUUCCAGAACUUUUUCAUCACCCCAAAUGGAAACCCUGUACCCAUUAAGCAGUCACUUCCUAUUCCCUCCUU